UACGAAGGGGGCUAGCGUUGUUCGGAAUUACUGGGCGUAAAGCGCGCGUAGGCGGUUUUGCAAGCCAGAGGUGAAAUGCCUGAGCUCAACUCAGGAAUGGCCUUUGGGACUGCGAGGCUUUGAGGACUGGAGAGGUGAGUGGAAUUCCCAGUGUAGAGGUGAAAUUCGUAGAUAUUGGGAAGAACACCGGGGGCGAAGGCGGCUCACUGGCCAGUUUCUGACGCUGUAGCGCGAAAGCGUGGGGAUCAAACAGG
rnacentral:rRNA from 1 species